UGAACGCUGGCGGCGUGCCUAAUACAUGCAAGUCGAGCGAACAGAUAAGGAGCUUGCUCCUUUGACGUUAGCGGCGGACGGGUGAGUAACACGUGGGUAACCUAUCUAUAAGACUGGAAUAACUCCGGGAAACCGGGGCUAAUGCCGGAUAACAUGUUGAACCGCAUGGUUCUACAGUGAAAGGCGGCUUUGCUGUCACUUAUAGAUGGACCCGCGCCGUAUUAGCUAGUUGGUGAGGUAACGGCUCACCAAGGCAACGAUACGUAGCCGACCUGAGAGGGUGAUCGGCCACACUGGAACUGAGACACGGUCCAGACUCCUACGGGAGGCAGCAGUAGGGAAUCUUCCGCAAUGGGCGAAAGCCUGACGGAGCAACGCCGCGUGAGUGAUGAAGGUCUUCGGAUCGUAAAACUCUGUUAUUAGGGAAGAACAAAUGCGUAAGUAACUGUGCGCGUCUUGACGGUACCUAAUCAGAAAGCCACGGCUAACUACGUG
rnacentral:rRNA from 1 species